UUAUAUGCUAGAAAAGAAAAACUGGAGAAAAUUUAUUUCUGAGUUCUGGGGAAAAAAUCAAAAUCGGGAAGGAGAAAGAAGCCAUCUUUCUUACGAUGACUCGGAUCCCAUUGAAUUCGAGAGCUGAUUUUACCGCUUCAGUUCUUCUAUUUUGUUCAGUUUUCCUCUUCUUUACUUCAGGAAUUUCUUCGUCGGGGUUGUUACAUUAGAAUCAAUUCAAAUUUUUAGGAGCCAUGAAUUGUUAACGGCACCAACGGUCUAUUUUAGUUGUCAAGGACAAAACAAGACCCUUUUGCCUGACAUCAGGAAGAAAAACACCUUGUACACUUUCAAGGGUGAAGAAUCUUGGCAGCCAUUGGCCGAGUUUCUGACAAAGAAAUGUAAGCGUUGUGGUUUCUAUGAGAGGGAUGUCGUCCUCUCAGAUGACGUAUUUGAUGAAUGGGAGUUCUGUCCUUCUGAUUUUACGGCUCCCAAUGGCGAGUAUAUACGUUUCAAGGACAAGGAGUUCAAUGCUACAUUUUAUUGUCCAGACUGUGUUCCUCUGGGAAAGGGUUGGAACCAUACUUCUGGCUCAGAUAAUGGAGAGACCAAAGGAAAGGGACGGCAUUUAGCUUUAGUGAUUUUUGUCACCGCAGUAGCUUCAACUGGGUUCAUUAUUGGAGCAGUAGUCUCAUACCGUUACUGGCUCAGGAAGAAGAGAAUGGAGGAUCGAGCUCGUUUUCUAAAGCUGUUCGACGAUGUCGACGACAUUGAAGAUGAAAUGGAUCUUGGCUAAUUCAUUUGAUUAAAAACCAUUUUUCUCCAGUCAGAAUUUUAAAAAAAAAAAAGCAAUUGCUUUGUGUAUAAAUCCUGUUUCCACAUUUUGAUCCCGUGACUUUUAUGUAUAUAAAAGUUUGAUACUUUAACUGAA